rnacentral:lncRNA from 1 species
GACCCUAUUGUCAACAUUAACCAGUUUGGGCAUAUUGAAAUAAGAAAAACAACCACAGCUUUCGUUGAUACAUUAUUAAACACAAGUUUAAUUAACAAUAAGAAACGAUUGGCUCAACACAGACUACCACUAAGUACUGAAAAUAAAUAGACUACUACAAUUCAUCAUGUCAAAGAACAAAGACAAAGAUCGACAUUUCAAGGUUGAGGAGCAUUAUCAAAGCGCAUCCGGAGGUGCUGCAGUUCCUCCUCC